rnacentral:rRNA from 1 species
GUGAACGCUGGCGGUAGGCCUAACACAUGCAAGUCGAACGGCAGCACAGUAAGAGCUUGCUCUUACGGGUGGCGAGUGGCGGACGGGUGAGGAAUACAUCGGAAUCUACUUUUUCGUGGGGGAUAACGUAGGGAAACUUACGCUAAUACCGCAUACGACCUACGGGUGAAAGCAGGGGAUCUUCGGACCUUGCGCGAUUGAAUGAGCCGAUGUCGGAUUAGCUAGUUGGCGGGGUAAAGGCCCACCAAGGCGACGAUCCGUAGCUGGUCUGAGAGGAUGAUCAGCCACACUGGAACUGAGACACGGUCCAGACUCCUACGGGAGGCAGCAGUGGGGAAUAUUGGACAAUGGGCGCAAGCCUGAUCCAGCCAUACCGCGGGGGUGAAGAAGGCCUUCGGGUUGUAAAGCCCUUUUGUUGGGAAAGAAAAGCAGCAGGUUAAUACCCCGCUGUUCUGACGGUACCCAAAGAAUAAGCACCGGCUAACUUCGU